GGACGGGGACAGGGACAAGGUGGGGACAGGGAAAGGGAUGGGGACAGGGACAGGGAUGGGAUGGCACAGGGUGGAAAUGGGGACCAGGACAGUGAUGGGGACAGGGAAGGGGAUGGGGCCGUCACUCACCCCUUGGCCUCAGCCACCUCCGGGGAGCUGGGGGCUGCCGAGAGCCCCCCCAUUUCUUCCAGCCUGGGUGGGACACGGGGGGGGAGGGUCAGAGCUACGGGGCCCCCGCCACACGCGGUGUCACCGUGCCGUGUCCCCAAACACACACGGUGUCCCCAAGCCCCCUCUGCAGUGUCCCCAAGCCCCCAAGCAACGUCCCCGAGACCCCAUGCAACGUCCCCAAGCACCCACGAAAUGUCCCCAAGACCCCCCACAAAGCCCCCAGCCCCCCACAACGUCCCCAAGCCCCCAGGCGAUGUCCCCGCGCCCCCACCUGGCGAGCAGCAGGCGCAGGACGUCGUGGGGCUGGGUGAAGGCACGGAAGGUGGCGAGGAAGGUGGGGACGAAGGCUCCGUCCCCGCGGGCCGGGGCCUCCAGCAGCAUCCCAGUGCCACCCCAUAGCAUCCCAGUGGUGCUCUCAGUGCUCCCAGUGCUCCCAGUGCCACCUCAUAGCAUCCCAGUGCUCUCGUGCUGCCCUAUAGCAUCUCAGUGGUGCUCCCAGUGCUCCCAGUGCUGCCCCAUAGCAUCCCAGUGCUCCCAGUGCUGUCCCAUAG
rnacentral:lncRNA from 1 species